CACUCGCUGUGUACAGGGUGGGCAAGACAGCCCUUCUGUAUCCACAUGAAGUUCAUUAUGGCCACAUAACUUCCUUGGGUCAGCAGAAGCUGUCACGGGGGGACACCUGUGCACCUGCAUCUCUCUCCUCUGCUUCGUGAAGGAGGCGGCUUAGGGAAGAUUGCAGAGGUUUCCCAGCCCAGAACAGGGCAACAGAGACAUUCCUCUCACCUUGAAGCUGCUCACAGGAAGCAGAUGGAGCCAUCCGAGUCAGGAUGCUGCCGGUCUCUUCCAGAAGGUCCAGAAGCCCAGGACUGCCCUGACCUGCAGCCCACCCUCAACUGAGCAGUAUAACUAGUGCUGUGAGAAGCCCCACUCCCCAUCCAAGGAACAUCGGAGCAAUGAUUACACCCUCCACGGUUCAGUUCCUGCCAAGGCCUUAAGUAAAAAUGCUACUACUCACUAGGAUCAGAAGAACUAGGGUGAGGAGAGUGGGGCACUCCUAAGAUGUAAAAUUUAAGAGACACCCUCAAACUCAGUGGGGGCUUCCCAGGUGACUCUAGUGGUAAAGAACCCACCUGCCAAUGCAGGAGACAUAAGAGAUGCGGACUCAAUCCCUGGGUCAGGAAGAUCCCCUGGAGGAAGGCAGGGCAACCUACUCCAGAAUCUUUGCCUGCAGAAUCCUAUGGACAAAAGAGCCUGGCAUGGAGUCACAAAGAGUCGGACACAAGUGAAGCGACUUAGCACACAUGCAUUCCCCAAACUCAGUAGCCAAGAUACAUAAUAUUUCAAGACAUUAAAGUUAAUUUAAAAAUCCAUGAUCGAACAAAACAUCACCCAUGCUUUUAAGUGAAGAUGGACUCUGUCCCUGCUGAACCGGAGAGUAAGUGCCUCCCUUGCCUCACUCUAGUCCCAGCCCCAAAGCUCAGGUCCCUUCUCAGACAGUAGAGUCAGACUCUCUGGGAAGGGUGUUCCAGACAGAGGUACCAUCUGUGGGAAGCUCUGCAGGUAGUUCUGCUGUGCAGAGAGUUGAGUUCCCUUGCUCUGAAAGAAGUAACUAAUGCAGGCAUGUCUGAGGUUUGCAGAAGAGAAAGAGGAGAUGCAAUGUGAUCCCCUAAUUGCAGCUGUUUAAGAGUUCUGUGUAGAUAGACAGUGCCCCACCCACCAAGGGCGCUGAAAUUCUGCUUUUCCAACUUUAUUCCUUUGGGGCUUUCUCUGUGGGUUUUCUUUCAGAACCCAGAAACUCCUAGAACAAUUAAGCAAUGCAAUAAUUGAACUUGCUGAGUCUUUGCGGACCCUCUGCACCACAGUUUCCACUCCAGAUAACUGGGGUCCUUCCCUCUGCUUAUUUAAAUCCUGUGCAGAUUUCCAGCCCCAGUUUAUUAAGAUUCCAUCUGUGGAAUCCCUCUCUCUAUUCAUUCCAUACGUACACAUUUGAGGACCUACAAUGUGCCAGUCUGGAUUAUGGACAAGGACUGAAUUUUAAAAAUUGUGCUUGGGGAAGUCAAAAUAAUGCCAGCAUAUAACAAAAGUUAAAUUACACUAGAAGGUUCAGAAUGAAAAUCAGCAAUCUCUGGUCCGAACUUCUCCAAGUUCAGUAUCAUUUCUAGGCGCUUAUGACCCUUAAUUCUUGUAGGUGUGUCGUCUAGUAUUUAGUUCCAUUUUUCUAAAUAUAUGCAUACAAAUUUUUUUAUUUACCAGCUUUUGGCAUUCACUUUUGAACUCUUGCCAUGGUAAAAAAAAAAAUAAGACAAAUCUCCCAUCGCCGUCCCGUUUCCUUUCCCUCCAUCCUUUGAACAUGGUUAUUUUUCAGUUUUUUUUUUUUUUUUUACUGAACAAUAAAGAAAGC
ensembl:lncRNA